rnacentral:rRNA from 1 species
CUCGGAGUUUGAUCCUGGCUCAGAUUGAACGCUGGCGGAAUGCUUUACACAUGCAAGUCGAACGGUAUAGGGGGCAACCCCUUGAGAGUGGCGAACGGGUGAGUAAUAUAUCGGAACGUACCCAGUCGUGGGGGAUAACGUAGCGAAAGUUACGCUAAUACCGCAUACGAUCUAAGGAUGAAAGCGGGGGACUCGCAAGAGCCUCGCGCGAUUGGAGCGGCCGAUAUCAGAUUAGGUAGUUGGUGGGGUAAAGGCUCACCAAGCCAACGAUCUGUAGCUGGUCUGAGAGGACGACCAGCCACACUGGAACUGAGACACGGUCCAGACUCCGUACGGGAGUAGCAGUGGGGAAUUUGGACAAUGGACGCAAGUCUGAUCC